AAAUCGAACCCGAGGACCCCCACCCCCCUCCCCCUCCCCGUCCCGUCUCAAGCGCCGGUAAACUUCGCCACGCCCCAAUCUCCAUUCGCCACAAACCCUAACCGCCCCUCUGCGUCGCGCCGCCGGCCGCCCCGCCACCCUCCUCGCCCUUCCAGGGCCCCGGCGAAGGCUGUAACCCGCGGGGAGCGGCGGCGAUGGCAUCCACGGCGAAGGUCACCAUCACCCUCGGCCGCAGCGGCCAGGUUGUCAAAAGGCGAACUAUUUCUGAUAUGGGUAACGAUGAUGAAGUGCCAGUAUCAGGAAGAAAGCGACCUGUCCGAGAGAGGUUAGGAAAUAAUGUGGCUGAUUCUGAUUUGUAUGGAAGUCAGCAGAGUAAUAAAAGACGGCAAACAGAAAGCAGUAGCUCGCAGCUUGGAGAUGAUGCUCGCCAGAUUGGCAGGGAUGAUUUAAGGCUGAAGCUUAUGAGGAAAGGCUUGACACAGAAGAGCAACAGUGAGGCAGAACAGAAUGGAGUGGAUCUCCGUGAAAAGCUUUCCAGGAAGUCAAAGAAACUCCAGGGAUACGAGGCAAGAAGGGGUGAUCCAGAAUCAAGGUCUAGUUAUGAUGAGGGGGAAAUCCCAGAAUCAGGAUCUGGAUAUGGUUUGAGGGGGAGAGUCCCAGAGUCAAGAGCCUCUACUCUUGUAAGCCAAGUGCCUUCGUCAAGGAGUGCAGAUGGGUUGUUCAAGUUGGAGUCUUCAGGAAAACCUUAUCCCUCGUGGACCGCUGAUUGUUUGAGGUAUACGUCCCCAGACAAGCUUCCAAGUGUUCGAAGAGACAUGACUCCCCCAAGAAGUGUUCGAAGAGGCAUGUCUCCCCCGAGGGCCGUUCGGAGAGGCAUGUCUCCCCCGAUAAGUUCUCGAAGAGGCAUGUCUCCCCCAAGAAGUGCCCGAAGAGGCAUGUCUCCUCCAAGAAGUGUUCGAAGAGGCAUGUCUCCUCCAAGAAGUGUUCAAAGAGGCAUGUCUCCUCCAAGAAGUGUUCGAAGAGGCAUGUCUCCCCCAAGAACAUAUGAUCAUACAGGGUCCAUUCCAUCCCUUCGAUCUGUCGGUACCACAAGACCUUCUAGUCAUAUCACAAGAGAUGCUGCUGACACGUUAAGAACCCAUCAACCUUACGAAGACAGCUCUACCAUUGGGAUCGAUAGAGGACAACAAACUAAUGGAAUCACACAAUCUGGACGCCGGCCUACAUCCCCUGUGCUGAAAGAAGUACCGUCGACAGUUACUGGAUUACUGAAUUCAAUGGGACUUGAGAAGUAUGUUGUUCUCUUUCAGGCUGAGGAGGUGGAUAUGGCCGCAUUGAGUCAGAUGAAAGACAGCGACCUCAAAGAUAUGGGAGUACCAAUGGGCCCCAGGAAGAAGAUACUCCUUGCGGCGGCACCUUACGGAAAACAACGGCAAAGAUGAGCAGCAUGUGCUCUGUGACGUUGAACAUUUGCUGGGAAUGCAUUUUUAUUGGUAUUAAUGUCGCCCUGUUCUUGGCUUGUGUAAAGUCAUGUCUUGUCAGCUGAUGCUCCGAAUCGUACCACUGGCGGCGAUAUGCUGCCCUGCUGUAUUUGUUAACAGCAGUAGGGUUUGAAACAGAGUGGAUACAACAUGGUCUAGCGCCAUCAUCAAUCUGGACUUCCUGUAUUUUGGGGAACAUGAUGGGGGAUACAACUAACCCAAUCUAUUAUGUAUGCCAAAUGGCCAUCGAAUUCCACCAGUCUUGUGCAUGGAGGAAGUAGUAGAUUGUUUUUUCAGUGUGACUGCUCCUACCUAUAUUUGUUCAACUGUCAAUCUUUGCCAUAUGGAUUGUGCAUAGUUGUGUUGCCUGUAUACCAGAGUUACCCCGGGUUUUCAAUUAGUGUUGUUCUUGAACGAUGUUUAGGACGCUCUACUCUAUAACUGUAUUGCUAGGAUAGAGCAGCGUUUAACAUCAUGAAUUACUAGCAGGAAAUGGUUGAUUAUGCACUGCAGCUGAGUAGCGACGGC
rnacentral:rRNA from 1 species